GAUGAACGCUGGCGGCGUGCCUAAUACAUGCAAGUCGAGCGAACAGACGAGGAGCUUGCUCCUUUGACGUUAGCGGCGGACGGGUGAGUAACACGUAGGUAACCUACCUAUAAGACUGGGAUAACUUCGGGAAACCGGGGCUAAUACCGGAUAAUAUUUCGAACCGCAUGGUUCGAUAGUGAAAGAUGGCUUUGCUAUCACUUAUAGAUGGACCUGCGCCGUAUUAGCUAGUUGGUAAGGUAACGGCUUACCAAGGCAACGAUACGUAGCCGACCUGAGAGGGUGAUCGGCCACACUGGAACUGAGACACGGUCCAGACUCCUACGGGAGGCAGCAGUAGGGAAUCUUCCGCAAUGGGCGAAAGCCUGACGGAGCAACGCCGCGUGAGUGAUGAAGGUCUUCGGAUCGUAAAACUCUGUUAUUAGGGAAGAACAAACGUGUAAGUAACUGUGCACGUCUUGACGGUACCUAAUCAGAAAGCCACGGCUAACUACGUG
rnacentral:rRNA from 1 species